rnacentral:rRNA from 1 species
AUGCUUUAUGAUAAUCCAUUUACUAUUCCACUGGAGAAUUUUGCUUACCAUUGCAAACUUCCAUUUUGGGGUUCGCUUGAUGAGCCACCAACGGCUGAGUUCGAGUCUUUCUUGACUAGCCUUUGUUACAGUGAAAAUAGGGGAGUGAGACAAGGAAGAAUAAAGAACAUUCACUUUCCCGCAAUUCAGUAUUUUGCAUUAUUUAACGGGAAAUGCAUAGUAGGCAAGCAAGACUGUAGCAUACCUUGUGCGCCAGACUUGAGCCUCAUUCGCACCGCUCUCACUGGUGAAAGGAAUUAUAACCUCGGAGCGAUUGUUGCACGUAGACUUCAGCAUAACGCUAACAAUGGCUGGUUCUAUGGUGGAAUUUACGCCACGCAUUUAGCACGAGGGUUGGGUGUUUCACCUUUGCCCUUUGAUCCUAUCCUACCCACACAGUAUUUAGAUUUUGACACCUUAAAGGAGCAUAAGAUUCUCAAGGGAAAGGCUGAUAACUUCACUUAUAAUCUAUUGUUUAACCAAACUUCUGUUGUGCACACAUAUUUGCCUACGCCUGCUCUUUUUGACUAUCACAACAAUGGGAGAUAUUUUGUUCUUGAGAGCGAGGCCCACGCUCACAACACAGCAGUAGAGGCAGCACGGCAUGCCGAGGCAUCCGCACCAAGAGCCUCCGUGAGCUACCACGCCGACUACUACCCUCCAGGCUACUGA